GACGAACCGUACGAACGUUAUUCGGAAUUACUGGGCUUAAAGGGUGCGUAGGCGGCGCAGUAAGUUGGGUGUGAAAUCCCUCGGCUUAACCGAGGAAUUGCGCCCAAAACUACUGUGCUCGAGGGAGAUAGAGGUGAGCGGAACUUAGGGUGGAGCGGUGAAAUGCGUUGAUAUCCUAAGGAACACCGGUGGCGAAAGCGGCUCACUGGAUCUCUUCUGACGCUGAGGCGCGAAAGCAUGGGGAGCGAACGGG
rnacentral:rRNA from 1 species